rnacentral:rRNA from 1 species
GGAAACUGGGGAUAAUACCCCAUAGACCAGGGAUGCUGGAAUGCCUCCUGGUUCAAAGGUCCGCCGCCUGAGGAUGGGUCUGCGGCCGAUUAGGUUGUUGUUGGGGUAACGGCCCAACAAGCCUUUGAUCGGUACGGGUUGUGAGAGCAAGAGCCCGGAGAUGGAUUCUGAGACACGAAUCCAGGCCCUACGGGGCGCAGCAGGCGCGAAAACUUUACAAUGCGAGAAAUCGUGAUAAGGGAACCCCGAGUGCCCGUAAAUUCGGGCUGUCCGCCAGUGCAAAUAGCUGGUGAAGAAAGGGCCGGGCAAGACCGGUGCCAGCCGCCGCGGUAAUACCGGCGGCUCGAGUGGUGGCCACUAUUACUGGGCUUAAAGCGUCCGUAGCUUGAUUGUUAAGUCUCUUGGGAAAUCCACCGGCUCAACCGAUGGGCGUUCAGGAGAAACUGGCAAUCUAGGGACCGGGAGAGGUGAGAGGUACUCCAGGGGUAGGAGCGAAAUCCUGUAAUCCUUGGGGGACCACCUGUGGCGAAGGCGUCUCACUAGAACGGCUCCGACAGUGAGGGACGAAAGCUGGGGGAGCAAACCGGAUUAGAUACCCGGGUAGUUCCAGCUGUAAACGAUGCGCG